rnacentral:rRNA from 1 species
CCUACGGGAGGCAGCAGUGAGGAAUAUUGGUCAAUGGCCGUAAGGCUGAACCAGCCAAGUAGCGUGAGGGAAGACUGCCCUAUGGGUUGUAAACCUCUUUUAUGCGGGGAUAAAGGUGUCCACGUGUGGAUGUUUGCAGGUACCGCAUGAAUAAGGACCGGCUAAUUCCGUGCCAGCAGCCGCGGUCAUACGUAGGAUCCGAGCAUUAUCCGGAGUGACUGGGUGUAAAGAGUUGCGUAGGUGGCAUAAUAAGUAGCUAGUGAAAUCUGGUGGCUCAACCAUUCAGACUAUUAGCUAAACUGUUAAGCUCGAGACCGUUAGGGGUAACUGGAAUUUCUAGUGUAGGAGUGAAAUCCGUAGAUAUUAGAAGGAACACCAAUAGCGUAGGCAGGUUGCUGGGACGGUUCUGACACUAAGGCACGAAAGCGUAGGGAGCAAACGGGAUUAGAUACCCCUGUAGUC